AGCAGCCGCGGUAAUUCCAGCUCCAAUAGCGUAUAUUAAAGUUGUUGCAGUUAAAAAGCUCGUAGUUGAAUUUCGGGGUUAGUAGUUUGGUCGUGCCAAUGGUAUGUACUGGGCUCACUGAUUCCUCCUUCCUGAUGAACUGUAAUGCCAUUAAUUUGGUGUUGCAGGGAAACUGGACUGUUACUUUGAAAAAAUUAGAGUGUUUAAAGCAAGCUAACGCUUGAAUACAUUAGCAUGGAAUAAUGAAAUAGGACGUUCGAUCCUAUUUUGUUGGUUUCUAGGAUUGACGUAAUGAUUAAUAGGGAUAGUUGGGGGCAUUAGUAUUCAAUUGUCAGAGGUGAAAUUCUUGGAUUUAUUGAAGACUAACUACUGCGAAAGCAUUUGCCAAGGAUGUUUUCAUUAAUCAAGAACGAAAGUUAGGGGAUCGAAGACGAUCAGAUACCGUCGUAGUCUUAACCAUAAACUAUGCCGACUAGGGAUCGGAUGAUGUUAAUUUUUUAAUGACUCAUUCGGCGUCCG
rnacentral:rRNA from 1 species